rnacentral:rRNA from 1 species
UUAGGCAUGCAAGUCGUACGUGAUCCUCGUUUCGGUGAGGUGAAAGUGGCGAACGGGUGAGUAAUGCAUAGCUAACCUACCCUUGGCACGGGGAUAACCAGGAGAAAUCUUGGCUAAUACCCGAUAGGCUCGCGGGGUUGCAUGGUCCUGCGAGUAAAGGAGGCCUNUUAGCAAUGCUUUCGGCCGAGGACGGGACUAUGUCCUAUCAGCUAGUUGGUAGGGUAAUGGCUUACCAAGGCGAUGACGGGUAGCCGACCUGAGAGGGUGACCGGCCACACUGGGACUGAGACACUGCCCAGACUCCUACGGGAGGCUGCAGUCGAGAAUCUUCCGCAAUGGGGGAAACCCUGACGGAGCGACGCCGCGUGCGGGAUGAAGGCCUUCGGGUUGUAAACCGCUGUCACGCAUUAAGAAGGGCCCGGCGUUAACAGCGCUGGGCUUUGACGAAGGUGCGGGAGGAAGCCACGGCUAACUCUGUGCCAGCAGCCGCGGUAAGACAGAGGUGGCGACCGUUUUUCGCAAUCACUGGGCAUAAAGCGCGUGAGGCGGCAUAGCAAGUCGGGUGUGAAAUCCCUCGGCCCAACCGAGGAAUUGCGCUCGAAACUGCCGUGCUUGAGGACAGGAGGGGAGCCUGGAAUUCCUGGUCGAA